UGAUUGUCCAAACGCAAUUCUUGUAUUACUUCUCCACUUCCAGGAGUUGUGGAUGGACAUCAGA
rnacentral:pre_miRNA from 1 species